rnacentral:rRNA from 1 species
UACGUAGGGUGCGAGCGUUGUCCGGAAUUAUUGGGCGUAAAGAGCUCGUAGGCGGUUUGUUGCGUCGGCCGUGAAAACCUGCAGCUUAACUGUGGGCCUGCGGCCGAUACGGGCAGACUUGAGUUCGGUAGGGGAGACUGGAAUUCCUGGUGUAGCGGUGAAAUGCGCAGAUAUCAGGAGGAACACCGGUGGCGAAGGCGGGUCUCUGGGCCGAUACUGACGCUGAGGAGCGAAAGCGUGGGGAGCGAACAAG